rnacentral:misc_RNA from 1 species
UUAAAAAAAAAAAAAAAGAAAGAACUUGCAAGAUUUUGAUUUUGAUAUACUGAAGAUUGAGAAGAUUUGGGAAUUUGGGUCACCAAAGGGCAGUGAGAUAGCGGUGGAUCAAAGUAAAUAGAGAGGGAAAAGAGUAAGAAACUGAGGGGAAUAAAAAGAACCCUAGUAAGAGAAGAAUCAAAUGAAAUGCAGAGAGAAAAUUAAAGAGACAUUGUAAUUUAAAAAAACAAUGGCAAGAGAUUGAUGAAUCAUUCCGCAGAAAGAGAGUAAAACUCUAAGAUAGUGAGUUUAAGAGAGAGACUGGAUUCUGAGAAGCAGAGGGAGAGAGCGCGCGCGCGCGCGAGAGAGAGAGAGAG